rnacentral:rRNA from 1 species
CAAUAGCGUAUAUUGAAGUUGUUGCGGUUAAAAAGCUCGUCGUUGGAUUUCUGUUGAGGUCGAACAGUGCCGCCCUAUGGGUGCGCAACUGGCUCGGCUUCGGCAUCUUCUUGGAGAGCGCAUCUGCACUUAACUGUGUGGAUCGUACUUCAAGUCAGUUACUUUGAGGAAUUGUGAGUGUUUCAAGCAGGCUUACGCCGUUGAAUCCGUUAGCAUGGAAUAAUAGGAUAGGACCUCGGUUCUAUUUUGUUGGUUUUGAGGGCUGGGGCAGCGAUUGAUAGGGACGGAUGGGGGCGUCCGAACUUUACUGUCAGAGGUGAAAUUCUUAGAUCGGUCAAAGGCGAACUACUGCGAACGCAUUCGCCAAGAAUGUUUUCUUUAA